GCCGCGUUAGCUCAGUUGGUAGAGCAAGGGACUGAAAAUCCCUGUGUGCUUGGUUCGAUUCCGAGACGCGGCACCA
rnacentral:tRNA from 1 species